ACUUAGGCGAGGAUCUCCCCUUCAGGACCAGGCUCUCGAGUUCGGUAUCAUGCCUGGAUUAUGGAAUAGAACACGCGUAUGGUCGCCCUGUGAACGUUCGAGCAGGGUACAAUCGUCUAACCAUCUCGCUAAUCCAUUUUUGAGGAUGAGGCAGUUCUGAUGAAAGCACAGGUCUGGUUUGGUUGAAUUUCCUUGGGGUCCUUGGGCGUUUAGUUCGGGUGCUGUGUUCUGGGAGUCAUAGUUUUUUUGUAUAGCUAGCUACACUCAUAUGAUCCGGGGUUUGACGAUUUGCGGACACGCCAUCUUAUACAUUCAAUCCAUCGCGAUGUAUAUUCGAUCCCAGAUGUAUAUAACGGAGCUACUUCGGGCACGUGUUUUUUCGAUUUAGUCCAUAUGUGUUUCAUUUGAAGUCACUCUGACCCUCUUGAGUGUUGGAUAAGUUUGUGUACUAGGGUCUUUGUGGGGCUGCAACACAUGGUCCUUGUGGCAGUUAGGAUAGAGUUCCUGACCAUCAAGGACUGACAGUUAGGAUAGCAUCUUAGACCAGCAUCUUAGACUAGCAUCUUAGGCUGGCAUCUUAGUAGCAUUUCAGCAUAUGCUUGGCUGGCUAGCAACCUAUAAGUAUGUAUCCCCAAUCCCUCAGGUUGGCAUGGCAUUGUGUGAGAAAUAAACCAACGAAAAUUGUCCCAACUCUUCUAGUGUUAUCCACAACUAUCAAUGCUUAGAUUCAAAGGUUUAACAAGUGGUAUCAGAGCCUUGUUAUCUUGUAUCCUGAGCAUUUCCUGUGAGCAGCCCAAGUCGGUAGCAACAGCUGCUCCGUUUGCCUCUGCUUACUUUCCUCCCUCCGGACUAUCGAGCAGCAGUUCGUCUUCAACAGCCUCUUCUUCACGCAACAGCCCCCCUACAGCGAGCCAUGUCUGCAGGUCGCUCUCAGCACACGGCUACCUCGAGCAUGCGGCGUCGGCAGGAGGCCGAGCGUGCCGUGGCAGAGGAGCGUGAGCGAGCAGCUGUAGCAGCAGCUGCUGCGGCAGCAAGGGUGUCGAGGCUGGCUGUAGCGGAGCUGGCAGCAGCCAAAGCGGAGGUAGAAGCAGCCAGGGCGGAGUUAGAAGCAGUAGCAGCAGCAGCGGACGCAGCACGUGAGGCUACGACGGAUGCCAAAGCACUUCGCGGCGGCUCCGGCAGCUCCAACAGCUCCGCACCUGUGGACGACGGCGCUGACGUAGACCGCGCCAAAGUGGCGCAAGAGCGGACGGCGCAGUGGGCAGCCGAGCACGCCCGCGCUCCAGGUGGAGGUGCGCACCGCGACGGCGGCUGCAACGACCAGGACCGCGGCCUCUACGAGGUCCGGACUGUGGUCAGGGAUGUUGGUCCCAGUGCUGGGUGGCCUACCCUCACUAAAACCAACUAGGUCGAGUGGGCCGGGAUCAUGAAGGUCAGGCUCCAGGUGCGGCGCAUGUGGGAGGCAGUCCAGGACAGCAAUGUCGACCACCAAGAGGACCGAUGGGCGCUGGACGCCCUCAUCGCCGCAGUCCUGCCCGAGAUGCAGUUCUCGCUUUCCAGCAAGCGGACUGCCAAGGAAGCUUGGGACGCCAUCGCCGCGGCACACAUCGGCAGCGACCGUGCUCGUAAGUCCACUCUACAGGCACUUCAUAAGGAGUGGGAGAGCCUGGCUUUCAAGCCAGGUGAGGACGUUGAUGACUUUGCUCUCCGUCUCAACACUCUGCUGCAGAAGUUGGUGAAGUUUGGUGAUGCCACCUACACCAAGGAGAGAGCUGUCGAGAAGCUCUUUCGGUGCAUCCCCGAGAAGUACAAGCAGAUGGCUCGGGCGAUCGAGUCCUUGCUGGACCUCUCCACGAUGACAAUCGAGGAGGCGAUAGGUCGCCUCAAGGUCGUCGACACCGACGAGCCACGGCCUUCCUCGGGGCCCAUCACCACCGGCGGGAAGCUGCUCCUAACUCGGGAGCCGUGGGAUGCCAGCCUUGGUGACAGGAAGAAGGGGGAGCCUUCUUCCACGACGGGCGGCCGCAAGCAUGGCAAGCAACGUAAGACGCGAAGAGGCCCCCCGGGCAGGGCACAAGGACGUGCCGAAGGGGACGCCCGCGGAGGCGCCAAGGACGGCGCCGCUGGCAAGCCCAAGCCGGCACAAGACAUCAGCUGCCACAACUGUGGCCGGUUUGGCCAUUGGGCCAAUGAGUGUCGGCAACCACGACAAGGCCAGACUCACGUCGCACAGGCGAAGGAGGAGGAGAUGGCUCUGUUCAUGGCGCAUGCAAGCAUUGAGCUAUCUUCAGCGACACCCAUUGCAAAAGCUCUCAUCCACCUCGACGAGCCAAAGGCACACGCUCUUCUCGGCGAUGCCUCCGGGAAGGACAAGACUACUGGGUGGUGCCUCGACACCGGCGCCACCCACCACAUGACCGGUCGAAGGGAAUUCUUCGCCGAGCUCGAUUCCGAUGCACGAGGCUCCGUCGAGUUUGGGGAUGCCUCCGCUGUGGAAAUUAAGGGCGUCGGCUCCGUCAUCUUCACCACCAAGACGGGAGAGCACCGGCUGCUCACCGGUGUCUACUACAUCCCCGCGCUAAGGAACUCCAUCAUCAGCUUGGGACAGCUGGAUGAGAACGGCUCACGUGUGCUGAUUGAGCAUGGGGUCCUACGCAUCUGGGAUCGCCAGGGUCGCCUUCUCGCCAAGGUACCAAGAGGUGGAAAUCGACUCUACGUCCUUGAUGUGCAGGUGGCACAACCGGUCUGUCUCGCUGUCCGUCGGGACGACGAGGCGUGGCAAUGGCAUGAGCGCUUUGGGCAUCUUCACUUUGAGGCCCUGAAGCGUAUAAGUGCCAAGGAGAUGGUACGAGGCCUGCCAUGCCUCAACCAUGUGGAGCAGUUCUGCGACAUCUGCGCACUGACGAAGCAGAGACGACUCCCCUUUCCCCAACAAGCGAGUUUUCGGGCCAAGGAGAAGCCGGAGCUCGUGCACGGAGACUUGUGCGGCCCGGUGACGCCAGCCACACCAGGAGGUCGACGCUACUUCCUGCUGCUCGUCGACGAUCUCUCUCGCUACAUGUGGGUGAUGAUUCUCGGCAGCAAGGGAGAAGCGCCGGACGCCAUCAGGCGCGCACAGGCUGGUGUGGAGGCGGAGAGCGGCCGCAAAUUGCACGUGUUACGCACUGACAACGGCGGCGAAUUCACGACGGCUGAAUUUGCGUCGUACUGCGCCGAUGAGGGCAUCCAGCGCCACUACUCCGCGCCGUACAGCCCGCAGCAAAACGGAGUCGUCGAGCGGCGCAACCAGACGGUUGUGGGGAUGGCUCGGGCUCUCCUCAAGCAGCGAGGGAUGCCGGCUGUUUUCUGGGGAGAGGCGGUGCUGACGGCCGUCUACAUCCUCAACCGCUCGCCUACUAAGGCACUCGACGGCAGGACACCGUAUGAGGUCUGACAUGGGCGGAAGCCGGCGGUUUCCCAUUUGCGGGUCUUUGGUUGUCUUGCGUUCGCUAAGGAGCUUGGCCACAUCGGCAAGCUCGACGACAGGAGCACUCCGGGAGUCUUCAUCGGCUAUGCGGAGGGCUCAAAGGCCUACUGCAUCCUCGACCCAAAGACACAACGUGUGCGCACGGCGUGAGACGUUGUGUUCAAUGAAGGGCGAGGGUGGCAAUGGGACAAGGCGGUGGACGACGGCACGACGCCAAUCUAUGACGACUUCAUUGUCGAGUACGCUCACUUCAAGGAAGCUGGGGGAGCAAGCAGCUCCUCCCCGCCGGGCACGUCUACCCCCGCCCCCAAAACUACAUCGACUCCGGUGCCCGCUACGCGACGACACCACAACUAGCGACGCCGCAUACUCCAGCCCCGACGGUCACCACUCUGGGUUCAUCUUCAUCAGCACCAGCUCACGCAGAGCACAACCCGAUGAAGUUCGCUUCCCCCCUCACUCACGACGAGGAGCGGGUCGACGCGUGGUAUGGAGGCGAACAGUUGCGGUAUCGCACGAUGGAUGAUCUACUCGGCGACCAGCCGGUGCCGGGACUGAUGCCACGUGACCUGGAGGCGCAGCUACAACUCGCGUGUGAGGACGGCGAACCACGGUCCUUUGCAGAGACCGAGAGAGAUGCGGCAUGGCGCGCCGUGAUGCAGUUGGAGAUGGACGCGGUCGAGCAAAACCGCACCUGGGAGCUCGCUGACCUCCCCCAUGGUCAUCGCGCAAUCACCCUUAAGUGGGUGUUCAAGCUGAAGAGGGAUGGAGCCGGCGCCAUCAUCAAGCACAAGGCUCGCCUAGUGGCCCGAGGCUUCUUGCAGCAGGAAGGAGUCGACUUCGACGACGCCUUCGCUCCCGUGGCAUGGAUGGCGUCCGUGCGACUUCUCCUUGCGCUGGCUGCCCAGGAGGCACUAGUGCAGAACCGGGCAAUAGCACCGGUUCGUAAGGCCCUUUAGUGCCGGUUCCAUAACCGGCACUAAAGUGUGGGCACUAAAGCCCCCCCCCCUUUAGUACCGGUUCAGCACGAACCGGUGCUAAAGGGCAACCACGUGGCACAAGCCAGCUCCGGGGGCCGGGAGCCCUUUAGUACCGGUUGGUAACACCAACCGGUACUAAAAUGUUUGGGUUUUUUUGGUUUUAUGAUUUCUUUUUCAUUUAAUUUUGUGUUUUCCAUUUUAAUUCUUUUUCGUUUGCUGGUAUUUUACUAUACUACACAUUGUACACGUUAUGCAUAUAUAUAUAUAUAAAUAAAUAGAAUUUCUAGUAGAACCAAUCAUAUAUAUAUCAUCAAUGUCUCACAAACCACCAUAUUAAUUCACACAUACACACAUGUAUAGCUAUAUAUAAUUUCUCCUACAUAUGCAUGUUGCCUUCGGAGCCAGUGGCAUUAGCCUAAUUGGUGCCUCCGGAGCACGAUGACAAUUGGAAGUGGUUCAUGACCUGGUCGAUGGGGGUGGUAGCGGGUAAUAGUAUUCUCCCUUCGGAUUUAUGACCUGGUCGAGCAAAAAUCCCGCUAUUUCCUCUUGAAGUGCUUCUACGCGCUCCGUUUCUAGGAGCUUGUCCCGCACCUCUUUGAACUGUUAAGAAGGAGAUCAAUACGCAUGUGUAUUAGUUGUGUGACUAGAUAUCGAUAAUGGUGUAAAAAUUGUGAAUAGUGUUCUGACAAGCGUACCCAUUCCUGUCUUUGAGAUCUGCCCCUUUCGGACACCAUCAUGUGAAUGUUCUCGCAAACGCAGAAUGCACACAGAUUAGUCCCUUGCGCCUGCUUCAGGGUCUUUAUUAUGAGAAUGGAAUUUAAUUUGAUCAGAUAAUAAUUAAUCAAGCAUGAUAAUUAAAGAGAUGGCAGCUAGCUAGCUAGCUAGUACUACUUAAUUACUUACCUUGGGUCGAAACCAUUUCAGCUGUCGUUUUCAUUCGCCUUCCGUGACGCUGAUGAACCUUGCCCAAGCCCUGCCCGCCGACAAAGAAAAUGAAUAAAAGGGUUAUUAAAUAGUUCAUAUCAUGAAAUGACGAACUAAAUAGGCCGAGAUAUAUAGUUAAUAAUGAUUGAAAUUACCUGUUGACUAUCCCAAAGAAGAUGUUAUAGUCACUAUUUGCUUUGAGUAGUGAGUCUAGUAUUUCAACUGUUCCAGCGUCAACUUUAAUGAUACACAAGAUCCAGUGAAAUCUGCAUGCACACACGUUUGCAUGUCUUAAUUAAGCGGGUAUAUGUAAGCAAAAACAUGUAGCUAGCUAGUAGGCAAAAACAGAGAAUUUGUAGUACAAGAAAGUGUGACUCACUGGAAGUUGUAAGGAAGUAGUAUAUCUUCAUUGUAUUUGAGGCGCUUCAAGAACUCUAGCAUGCUGUCCUCUACCUGCUUUUCAUGAUGCUUGUUUAUUUUCCAUGUGUAUUCAUUAACGGUGUUUGGGUCAAUGAACCCAAUGCCAUAUCGUCCACCUUUUCUCAUUUCAUACAUCUUCAUCCUGCAUAAUAUCACAGAAAAGAAUAUAGUGAGGAUAAUUACAGAUAAUGAUUGAUCAAAAGGAUCACUACAGCUAGCUUGAGACUUAAAUUACAGAAAGAAAUCACUUACAGACAAUAGCAACUGAUGAUAGAUUUGUCGAGUGCGUCUUGAUUGUAUAACUGAAACAGUUCAGAAUACUCAACGGUCACAGGUUUCUGAUGGUAGUAAUGAUCCUUCUUGACUUGCACCAUGAGGGACUCUCGAUCAGAUCUCUUGGUAGUGUCCAUGUACCAUUGGUGCAAUUCAGACAUUCUCGUUGGGAGCUUCUUGACCUCUUCUGGCUUGACCAAAGGUUGGCCCCGGGCAUAUUUCCGUUUUAUUUCCUCCUCUGUAAGCACAGGCAUGUCCUCGAUCUCGAGGAGUUGUCCAACAGUGAUUUUGAGAGUUUCUGCCCGCACUAUGGCAUUGGUUUGCUCCUCGGUCCUGUCGUAAGCCCUCUCAGGAAGAGGAGUAGUGAGGUUUGGACCAUAUUUAUAUCGCUUGCCUCCGCCUGUACUUCCUGUACUAUGACCUCGACUCGUACCGCUACGCACCAUAGCUGCGGGGUGUCUCUUCUAUGAUUGCUGAGGCGGCGGAGACGGCUGGCGGGGCUGAGUUGGAUGAGGAGGAGUGGCCUGAAGCUGUGCCAGACUUGGAGGAGGAGUGGCCUGAGGUUGUGCCGGACUUGGAGGAGGAGUGGAUGUCUGACGCUGUGUCGGACUUGGAGGAGGAGUGGCCUGACACUUUGCCGGACUUGGAGGAGGAGGAGUGGCCUCACGCGUUGGUGGACUUGGAGGAGCGGGAGUCUUCUAACCCGGUGGCGUACUUCGAUGAGGAGUCGGGUGACGCGGUGUCGGUGGCAUUCGAAAGAUGAUGCAAUCCUUUCUCCAUAGGAUGAUACGAUGUUUGGCAUCUCCGAGUGUGUGCUCCUUAUCACCUCCAGGAAUGUCAAGCUCUAGCCCCGAAUAUUGGUCCACCACCUCAUCAACCACGACACGAGCAUAGCCUGCUGGAAUCGGGUUGCAAUGGAAGGUUGCAUCGGGAGAAUUUGUAUAAGCAACGCCGUCCGCCACCUUCAAGGAUAUGUUCUUAAUUUUGAAGUGUAGCUCGCAGUUAGUGUUCUCCGCGAUGUCAUCCACGGGGUAUCUAUCCAGCAUCAAACGGGGCGGAACCCACGCUGCUUCUCGGCAUGGAUGGGGCGGUGGUAUUCAAUGCUGGAUCAUCCGCUAGCUGCUGCAGCUGCUGAGACCCCCUUUGCUGGCUAAGUGAGUCGAUCUGCUCCUGCUACCGCUGGAAUUUGACUACCAAAUCCGCGUGCGCUGAUUCUAGGCCUUGAAGGCGUUCAUAGUCCAGCUUCCUCUUCUCCUUCUCCAUCUUCCUCUGCUUCUCCUCUGCAAUCUUCCUUAUCGCACGGGUUCUGUAGUCGGCGUUCCAGUCCGAAAACCCCUCAUACCAUGGAAUAGCGCCCUUGCCUCAUGUUCUUCCCGGGUGUUCAGGAUUUCCCAGGGCACAUGUAAGCUCGUCGUUCUCUCUGUUGGGCUGGAACACCCCCGUUCGAGCCUCUUCUAUUGCAACAAGUAUAUUAUCGUCGGCUCCGUUCAGACAUGCCUUCGUCGAAACUUUGCUUAUCUUCGGGUCCAACUCCCCCCCAUGCGCAUAGAACCAAGUCCUGCACCUGGGGGGCCAGCUCUUAGUAACCGGAGUGACACCUGCAUCCUCCAUCUCUUUCUCAGACUUAUCCCACUUAGGCAUUGCCACCGCGUAGCCACCUGGCCCCAGCUUAUGGAACUUAUCCAUUUUUUCGGCAUUCUUCUUGUUUAUUCUUGACCGUUCCUUAGCUAAUUCUGAAUCCUUGAAUUUCAUAAAAUCGUCCCAAUGAGCACUUUGAUUCUCUAGUGUUCCCUCGAAUACUGGAGUCUUCCUUCCUCCCUUGACGUACUUGUCCCAUUCACGAUUCUUGUGGUUCUUGAAUGCAACCGCCAUCUUCCUAAGAGCAGCGUCCUUGACUUUCUGCACAUCUGCUUCUGUGAAAUGAUCUGGUAGGGUGAAAUGUUCCAUGAGAGUAUCCCAAAGCAGAUUUUUUUGUCUGUCGUUGACAAAAGUAAGAUCUGGACGUGGCUUUGUUGGCUCUCUCCAUUCUUGAAGGGAGAUUGGGAGUUGGUCCUUCACAAGAACUCCGCACUGAUGAACGAACUUGUCCGCAAUCUUCUUAGGCGCUAAUGGUUCGCCAUUAGGUCUGAUUGCCUCGAUAUUAUACUUUAUGCCCUCCUUCAACUUUUUGUUCGGGCCUCGUUUCGUCCUGUUGCCUGAAGAUUUGCUCGAUCCGGAUGGCUGAAAGAAGAAAGAUCGAUUCGUUAAUAUAUCUUCAACUCAUUUAAAAUAUGUGAUGAUCACCAGAUGCCUGCUUAUAUAAAUAUAUAUACCUCGCCGGUCUUUGUUGUUUCAGGAUCAACAUGUUCUUCGUCAUUAUCAUAAUCGUAGUUCAUGAUCACUUCAUCAAUUCGGUCGUCGCGAUCGAAUAUCAUAUCACCCUCUCCGGUGUUGUUUAGAAAUUCGGAGCCGUCAUAAUCUUCUUCAUUCUGAUCAUCAUAUGGCCCGCGUAUUAUAUCGAACAUGGUCUGUUCUCCCUCUCUGUCGGUAUUGUCCGCCAUAGCUUUUAUUUAACUAUGCCAAAAGAAAUAUAAAACAAUUUAGUACUCAAAUUACAUCGUCUCGAAUAAUAGAUAUAAUCUCGAAUACAUCAUCUCGAAUAAUAGAUAUAAUCUUGAAUACAUCGUCUCGAAUAAUAGAUAUAAUCUCGAAUACAUCGUCUCGAAUAAUAUAUAAUAUUGAAUACUACAUCACUGGCUAGGCGGCGCGGGCGGUGGACACCCAAAGAGAAGGAACCCUCACAGGAUCAUAGCUGAAGUGAGAUCCCUGAAGAAACUGCCAGGUAUUGGAGAACCUGCCGCCCUCUAACGCAACCAUGUAGCGAUGGACGUGCUCGUCCUCCUCCCUGACACAGCGACGUACCACCUCCGGCGGGGCGGGCUCCCUCCGCACCGAAACUGGCCCACACGAACGCCACCAAACGAGAUCAGGGUCGACGACGGGACCCGGGGUCGGGUUCCUCAUCAAGCGGCGCGCCCCUCCAGGCAGCACCUCCUAGUGCCAGCCCGGCGGAGCCCAGUCCCGGACAUGGGUCAGUCGGACGUCGUCACGGACGGGUCGACGGCGAGGAUGCGGGCCGGGCAUCGUCGAGAACAAAUACUAGCUAUAUGCCCGCAAAAAAUAACAUUUUUUAAUGAUUGGAUUUUGAUAACUAAAAUUUCUAACAUUUCUAUAUAACACUAAUUAUGCUAUCAUUGCAUAUGUCAAAAUUCUAUAUGCUAUUUCAUACUAAUUAAGCAUCUAACACUAAAAACAGAAAACACAACUUUUAUACAUCCAUUAAAAAACUGAAAAACAACAUUAUAUAAAAAAAUUCCAUACUAAUUAAACACUAAUUAUAUCCAUCUAACAUGCAUUCAUACAUAUAUACUAGUGAAAAAAUAAUAAUCUAAAAAAUCUAAACUAAUUAAACAUACAAAAUACGUAUAUACUAAUAUAUACAUGCAUUAAUUCAUACAUAUGUAUGUGUGUGUGUGUUCAUCAUGCUUGUGUGUGUGUGUAUGGGCUCGGGGANNNNNNNNNNNNNNNNNNNNNNNNNNNNNNNNNNNNNNNNNNNNNNNNNNNNNNNNNNNNNNNNNNNNNNNNNNNNNNNNNNNNNNNNNNNNNNNNNNNNNNNNNNNNNNNNNNNNNNNNNNNNNNNNNNNNNNNNNNNNNNNNNNNNNNNNNNNNNNNNNNNNNNNNNNNNNNNNNNNNNNNNNNNNNNNNNNNNNNNNNNNNNNNNNNNNNNNNNNNNNNNNNNNNNNNNNNNNNNNNNNNNNNNNNNNNNNNNNUAAGUGUUGUAUAUAUAAAAGGCACCUUUAGUACCGGUUGGAGCCACCAACCGGUACUACCGGUUGGUGGCUCCAACCGGUACUAAAGAUCCCCCUUUAGUAUCGGUUGGUGCCACGAACCGGUACUAAAGGGGGUCUGCUGGCGCAGGUGCGGUGCACAAGUUUAGUCCCACCUCGCUAGCCGAGGGGCGACCGCACUGGUUUAUAAACCCCCAUGCGGUAGCUCUCUCGACCUCCUCUCCAAAGCAGGCCUACUGGGCCUACAUGUUCUGUGCUGCCCUGUUGGCCUACUGGGCCUUUGCGGGCCUGCAUCCUGGCCCAACAACAGGUUGGGUUUCUAGUCGUAUGCAGGCCGCUCUGGCCUAGUAGGCGGGCUUUAUUUAUUUAUUUUUGAGUUGUUUUUUUUUGUGUAUUUAGAGUUUCUUUGUGAAUAUUUUUGCUUUAGGUACAAAAAAUUACAAACUUUCUGUUAGUGCCUGUAGUUUUCAAAUUUGAAUAGUUUAAAUUUUAAAUUAUUUGAAAUUAGUGUGAAUCACUAGUUUGUGAAUAACUUAACUUUAAAAAUCAGUAAAGGCAUGAAAGAAUUUGUUUGCACAUAAAAUUUCUUCGCGUUUCAAAUGCCAAAACACAUAAUUAACUACCCUAACUAUUACAGAGAUUCCCUUCUGGGUGUGAAACACAGAAAAAAGUGAUGAUAGUGAAGCCGAUCACAUCCCAGAUCUUUGGGUGUGAAACUUUUUCUUCGCGUGUGUCCCUUUGCGCCGUAACCAUGGAAAAUCUUCAUCAUUUAACGGGAUGCUCGGGUCAAUAUUCACUGUGAAUGGAGCAAUUUCAUCAAACUUUUCAUAAUCUUCUGACUUGUCUGUCUUGUCAUCCACUCCCACGAUGUUUCUCUUCCCAGAAAGAACUAUGUGCCGCUUUGGCUCAUCGUACGAUGCAUUCGCUUCCUUAUCUUUUCUUUUUCUUGGCUUGGUAGACAUGUCCUUCACAUAGAAAACCUGUGCCACAUCAUUGGCUAGGACGAAUGGUUCGUCUGCAUACGCAAGAUUGUUGAGAUCCACUGUUGUCAUUCCGUACUGCGGGUCUUCCGUUACCCCGCCUCGUGUCAUAUUGAUCCAUUUGCACCGAAACAAAGGGACCUUCAAAACACGUCGAUAGUCAAGUUCCCAUAUGUCCUGUAUAUAACCAUAAUAUGUUUCCUUUCCCGUCUUGGUUUCUGCAUCAAAGCGGACACCACUGUUUUGGUUGGUGCUCUUCUUAUCUUCGCCGAUCGUGUAAAAUGUAUUACCAUUUAUCUCGUACCCUUUGAAAGUCAUUAUAUUCGAAGAUGGUAACUGGGACAGCAAGUACAGAUCAUCUUCAAUAGAGGUGUCAUGCAUGGUACGUGUCUGCAACCAGCUGGCGAAACUCCUGGUUUGUUCACGUGUAAUCCAGUCAUCAGACCGCUCCGGGUGUUUGGAGCGUAGCAAAUUCUUGUGUUCAUCCAUAUAUGGAGCCACCAAGGCGGAAUUCUGUAGAACUGUGUAGUGUGCUUCAGUGAGAGAAUGUCCGUCCAUACAUAUUAUUUGUUCCCCUCCUAGCGUGCCUUUUCCAUCCAGUCUGCCCUUAUGCCGCGAUUCAGGAACACCAAUUGGCUUAAGGUCAGGAAUAAAGUCAACACAAAACUCAAUGACCUCCUCAUUUUGACGGCCCUUGGAGAUGCUUCCUUCUGGCCUAGCACGGUUAUGAACAUAUUUCUUUAAGACUCCCAUGAACCUCUCAAAGGGGAACAUAUUGUGUAGAAAUACAGGACCCAAAAUGUUAAUCUCUUCGCAUAGGUGAACUAGGACGUGCUUCAUGAUGUUGAAGAAGGAUGGUGGGAACACCAACUCGAAACUGACAAGACAUUGCACCAAAUCAUUCUCUAAUCUUGGUAUGAUUUCUGGAUUGAUUACCUUCCGAGAGAUUGCAUUGAGAAAUGCACAUAGCUUCACAAUGGCUAAUCGAACAUUUUUCGGUAGAAGCCCCCUCAAUGCAACCGGAAGCAGUUGCAUCAUAAUCACGUGGCAGUCAUGAGACUUUAGGUUCUGGAACUUUUUCUCUGCCAUGUUUAUUAUUCCAUUUAUAUUCGACGAGAAGCCGGACGAUACCUUAAUACUGAGCAGGCAUUCAAAGAAGAUUUCCUUCUCUUCUUUGGUAAGAGCGUAGCUUGCAUGACCCUGAUGUAUGCCGUCUUUUCCGUGCAUACAUUGCUGGUCCUCUCGUGCCUCAGGUGUAUCUUUUGUCUUCCCAUACACACCCAAGAAGCCAAGCAGGGUCACACAAAGAUUCUUCAUCACGUGCAUCACGUCGAUUGCGGAGCGGACCUCUAGGUCUUUCCAAUAGGGCAGGUCCCAAAAUAUAGAUUUCUUCUUCCACAUGGGUGCACGUCCGUCAGCGUCAUUCAGAACUGGUUGUCCACCAGGACCCUUUCCAAAGACCACCUUCAAAUCCUUGACCAUAUCAUGUACAUUAGCACCAGUACGGUGGCGAGGCUUCGUCCGGUGAUCCGCCUCACCUUUGAAAUGCUUGCCUUUAUUUCUUACGGGAUGCCUGCUCGGAAGAAAUCGACGAUGUCCCAGGUACACAUUCUUCUUACAAUUAGCCAAAUAUAUACUGUCGGUAUCGUCCAAACAGUGCGUGCAUGCGCGGUAUCCCUUGUUUGUCUGUCCUGAAAGAUUACUGAGAGCAGGCCAAUCAUUGAUGGUCAUGAACAGCAACGCCUUUAGGUCAAAUUCUUCCCCCAUGUGCUCAUCCCACGCACGUACACCUGUUCCAUUCUAUAGUUGUAAGAGUUCUUCAACUAAUGGCCUUAGGUACACAUCAAUGUCGUUGCCGGGUUGCUUAGGGCCUUGGAUGAGCACUGGCAUCAUAAUGAACUUCCGCUUCAUGCACAACCAAGGAGGAAGGUUAUACAAACAUAGAGUCAUAGGCCAGGUGCUAUGGUUGCUGCUCUGCUCCCCAAAAGGAUUAAUGCCAUCUGCGCUUAGACCAAACCAUACGCUCCUUGCGUCAUCUGCAAACUCCUUCCCGUACUUUCUUUCGAUUUUUCUCCACUGCGACCCGUCAGCGGGUACUCUCAACUUCCGUCUUUCUUACGGUCUUCUCUGUGCCAUCGCAUCGCCUUGGCAUGCUCUUUGUUUUGGAACAAACGUUUCAACCGUGGUAUUAUAGGAGCAUACCACAUCACCUUGGCAGGAAUCUUCUUCCUGGGGCGCUCGCCCUCGACAUCACCAGGGUCAUCGCGGCUGAUCUUAUAGCGCAAUGCACCACAUACCGGGCAAGCGUUCAAAUCCUCAUACUCACCGCGGUAGAGGAUGCCAUCAUUAGGGCAUGCAUGUAUCUUCUGCACCUCUAACCCUAGAGGGCAGACAACCUUCUUUGCUUCGUACGUACUCUCGGGCAAUUCGUUGUCCUUUGGAAGCAUAUCAUUUAUCAUUACCAACAACUUUCCAAAUCCCUUGUCAGAUACACCAUUCUCUGCCUUCCAUUGCAGCAAUUCCAGUGUGGUGCCCAGCUUUUUCUUGUCACCUAUGCAAUUCAGGUACAACAAUUUUUUGUGAUCCUCUAACAUGCGCUGCAACUUCUUCUUCUCCAAAUCACUUGUGCAGUUUCUCUUUGCAUCGGCAAUGGCCCGACCUAGAUCAUCAACGGGCUCAUCUGAUGCCUCUUCUUCAGCUUCUUCCCGCAUUGCCGGCUCAGCUUCUUCCCGCAUUACCGACUCAGCUUCUUCCCCCAUUGUUGUAUCAUCGUAUUCAGGGAACCCAUGGCCAGGAUAGCUGUCGUCGUCCUCUUCUUCUUCAUUGUCUUCCAUCAUAACCCCUCUUUCUCCGUGCUUGGUCCAAACAUUAUAGUGGGGCAUGAAACCGGACUUAAACAGGUGGACGUGAAUGGUUCUUGACGUAGAGUAAUUGUGACCAUUCUUACAGCCAGCAGAUGGACAAGGCAUAAAACCAUUCGCCCGCUUGUUUGCCUCAGCCGCAAGCAGAAAAGUAUGCACGCCCUCAACAAACUGGGGAGAGCAUCGGUCAUCGUACAUCCAUUGCCGGCUCAUCUUCAUUACACAACACCGAAUAGACCAAAUUAAUACAAUUUCAUACAUAAAGUUCAUACAACACUUAAAUGCAACAAACAAAUAACUCUCUAGCUAAAGCAUUUAAAUGCAACAACAAAUGCGAUCAAGAUCGCAACUAAGGUAAUGGAUCCAACAGCAUAAUGAUACCAAGCCUCACUAUCGAUGGCAUAUUUUCUAAUCUUUCUAAUCUUCAAGCGCAUUUUCUCCAUCUUGAUCUUGUGAUCAUCGACGACAUCGGCAACAUGCAACUCCAAUUCCAUCUUCUCCCCCUCAAUUCUUUUCAAUUUUUCUUUCAAGUACUCGUUUUCUCUUUCAACUAAAUUUAACCUCUCGACAAUAGGGUCGGUUGGAAUUUCCGGUUCACAUACCUCCUAGAAAAAAUUUCUAUGUCAACUUGAUGGGCAUAAUUUGUCAUAAACACGAAAUGCAACUAGUUUUAAAAGAGAAUAUAUAUACCACAUCCGAAUCAUAACAAGGACGAGGGCCGAUGGGGAUGGAUAUCAAAACCAUGGCACUAUAUGUAUAACAAACAACGUACGGGUAAGAUAAUUAUACGAGUAACUAUAUAUCCAAAUCACACAAACAUCAAUUUUUAUAUAAAAUUUCAUGAACAAGAGGCUCACCACAAGGUGGUGCCGGCGACGGGACGGUGCGGGCGAUCGACGGUGGUUACGACAGAGAUUUAGAAGGCACUAAUUAAACCACACCUACAUAUGCAAACUAAGUGUUAUUUUUGACCUCAAAUUGCAUAUAAAUCAAAUACUAGCACAUAUAUAUCCUCCCAAAUUACUAAACUCACAAAUUAAUCACUAUAUAAAGCAUUGCAAGAGCUAAUCUAGCAAUGAGAGAUGAAAGGACAAAGUUGCUAACCUUUGUGAUCAUUUGAAUGGAUGGGGGCCUUCAAAUCUUGACAAAUUUUGGGCAAAAUGUGUGAUGAGCUCGAGAGGAAGAGGGGAAGAACAAAGAGAGGAGAGGGGAAAGGGGAAGAACAGAGCGAGCUCGGGUGGACAAAGGGUUUAUGUAGGACGACCUUUAGUACCGGUUCGUGCCAAGAACCGGUACUAAAGGGGCUGGAGGGGCCCCAGUCUGACAACAUCCUGCCACUACUCUCAUUAGUAUAGGUUCGUGGCACGAACCGGUGCUAAAGGUUCGCCACGAACCAGUACUAAUGAAAGCGGCCCGGCUAGCCGUUGGAACCGGCACUAAUGUAUACAUUAGUGCCGGCUCAAAUACAAACCGGCACUAAUGUGCUUCACGUUUGACCCUUUUUCUACUAGUGAGGGUUGGUGUGUCCAUCACAUGGAUGUCAAGUCGGCAUUCCUCAACGGUGACUUGAAGGAGGAAGUCUACGUGCAUCAGCCACCGGGUUUUGCGAUUCCCGACCAGGAGGGCAAGGUACUCCGCCUGCGCAAGGCCCUCUAUGGCCAACGACAGGCACCUAGGGCGCGGAACGCCAAGCUGGACUCCACACUAAAGAAGAUGGGCUUCGAGCAAAGCCCGCAUGAGGCCGCUGUCUACCGACGGGGCAGUGGAGGAAAUGCCCUGCUGGUGGGCGUCUAUGUUGACGACUUGGUGAUCACCGGCACCAAAGAUGCAGAGGUAGCGACAUUCAAGGAAGACAUGAAGGCCACCUUCCAGAUGAGUGAUCUGGGGCUCCUCUCCUUCUAUCUAGGGAUUGAGGUGCACCAAGAUCACUCCGGGAUCGCGCUUCGACAGUCCGCCUACGCCAAGCGCAUCGUUGAGCUAGCUGGGCUCACCGGCUGCCAUCCAGAUCUCACUCCGAUGGAGGAGAGGCUGAAACUGAGCCGCGACAGCACGACGGAGGAAGUGGAUGCUACGCAGUACCGACUCCUUGUGGGGAGCCUUCGCUACCUCACCCACACACGACCGGACCUAGCAUUCUCCGUCGGCUAUGUCAGUCGGUUCAUGGAGCGACCGACGUCGGAACACCAGCAGGCAGUGAAGAGGAUCAUCCGCUACAUAGCAGGGACCCUCGACCACGGCCUCCACUACCCUAGGUGUCCGGGGGCAGCACACUUCGUCGGGUACAGUGACAGCGACCACGCCGGCGACAUCGACACCAGUAAGAGCAUGAGUGGGAUCCUCCUCUUCCUCGGCAAGUGUCUCGUGAGCUGGCAGUCAAUCAAGCAGUAGGUGGUGGCCCUGUCCAGCUGUGAGGCUGAGUACAUAGCGGCCUCCACCGCCUGCACUCAGGCGCUUUGGCUCGCUCGACUGCUUGGUGAUCUUCUCAUUCAAGACACCAGAACGGUGCAGCUCCUGGUGGACAGCAAGUCCGCCCUGGCCCUGGCAAAGAACCCCGUGUUCCAUGAACGGAGCAAGAACAUCCGGCUGAGGUAUCACUUCAUCCGCAGCUGUGUGGAAGAAGGGAGCAUCGAGGCGAGCUACAUCAACACCAAGGAUCAGCUCGCAGACCUGCUCACCAAGCCUCUUGGGAGGGUCAAGUUCCUCGAGCUUUGCUCCAGGAUCGGGAUGAUUCAACACUCCCACAAGACGACGUACAAGACUUAGGGGGAGAAUGUUGGAUAAGUCUGUGUACUAGGGUCUUUGUGGGGCUGAAGCACAUGGUCCUUGUGGGGUUGCAGCACAUGGUCCUUGUGGCAGUUAGGAUAGAGUUCUUGACCAUCAAGGACUGGCAGUUAGGAUAGCAUCUUAGACCAGCAUCUUAGACUGGCAUCUUAGUAGCAUCUCAGCAUAUGCUUGGCUGGCUAGCAGCCUAUAAGUGAAGGAAAUAUGCCCUAGAGGCAAUAAUAAAGUUAUUAUUUAUUUCCUUAUUUCAUGAUAAAUGUUUAUUAUUCAUGCUAAAAUUGUAUUAACCGGAAACAUAAUACAUGUGUGAAUACAUAGACAAACAAAGUGUCACUAGUAUGCCUCUACUUGACUAGCUCGUUAAUCAAAGAUGGUUAUGUUUCCUAACCAUAGACAUGUGUUGUCAUUUGAUUAACGGGAUCACAUCAUUAGGAGAAUGAUGUGAUUGACAUGACCCAUUCCAUUAGCUUAGCACCCAAUCGUUUAGUAUGUUGCUAUUGCUUUCUUCAUGACUUAUACAUGUUCCUAUGACUAUGAGAUUAUGCAACUCCCGUUUGCCGGAGGAACACGUUGUGUGAUACCAAACGUCACAACGUAACUGGGUGAUUAUAAAGGAGCUCUACAGGUGUCUCCAAAGGUAAAUGUUGGGUUGGCGUAUUUCGAGAUUAGGAUUUGUCACUCCGAUUGUCGGAGAGGUAUCUCUGGGCCCUCUCGGUAAUGCACAUCACAUAAGCCUUGCAAGCAUUGCAACUAAUGAGUUAGUUGCGAGAUGAUGUAUUAGGAAACGAGUAAAGAGACUUGCCGGUAACGAGAUUGAACUAGGUAUUGAGAUACCGACGAUCGAAUCUCGGGCAAGUAACAUACCGAUGACAAAGGGAACAAUGUAUGUUGUUAUGCGGUCUGACCGAUAAAGAUCUUCAUAGAAUAUGUAGGAACCAAUAUGAGCAUCCAGGUUCCGCUAUUGGUUAUUGACCGGAGACUUGUCUCGGUCAUGUCUACAUUGUUCUCGAACCCGUAGGGUCCGCACGCUUAAGGUUUCGAUGACAGUUAUAUUAUGAGUUUAUGAGUUUUGAUGUACUGAAGUUAGUUCGGAGUCCCGGAUGUGAUCACGGACAUGACGAGGAGUCUCGAAAUGGUCGAGACAUAAAGAUUGAUAUAUUGGACGGCUAUAUUCGGACAUCGGAAGUGUUCUGGGUGAUUUCGAAGAAAACCAGAGAGCCGGAGGGUUACCGAACCCCCCCCCCCCCGGGAGAAGUAAUGGGCCAUAUGGGCCUUAGUGGAGAGAGAGAGGGGCAACCAAAGGUGGGCUGCGCGCCUCCUCCCCCCUGGUCCGAAUUGGACUAGGAGAGGGGGGGCGGCGCCCCCCUUUCCUUCUCCCUCCCCACUUCUUUCCCCCUCCUAGUAGGAGUCCUACUCCUACUAGGAGGAGGACUCCUCCUUGGCGCGCCAUAGGGGCCGGCCGGCCUCCUCCCCUUGAUCCUUUAUAUACGGGGGCAGGGGGCACCCCUAGACACACAAGUUGAUCCACGUGAUCAUAUUCUUAGCCGUGUGCGGUGCCCCCUUCCACCAUAAUCCUCAAUAAUAUUGUAGCGGUGCUUAGGCGAAGCCCUGCGACGGUAGUACAUCAAGAUCGUCACCAUGCCGUCGUGCUGAGGAAACUCUUCCCCGACACUUUGCUGGAUCGGAGUCCGGGGAUCGUCAUCGAGCUGAACGUGUGCUAAAACUCAGAGGUGCCGUAGUUUUGGUGCUUGAUCGGUCGGGCUGUGAAGACGUACGACUACAUCAACCGCAUUGUGAUAAUGCUUCCGCUGUCGGUCUACAAGGGUACGUAGAUCACACUCUCCCCUCUCGUUGCUAUGCAUCACCAUGAUCUUGCGUGUGUGUAGGAAUUUUUUUGAAAUUACUACGUUCCCCAACAGUGGCAUCCGAGCCUAGGUUUUAUGUGUUGAUGUUAUAUGCACGAGUAGAACACAAGUGAGUUGUGGGCGAUAUAAGUCAUACUGCUUACCAGCAUGUCAUACUUUGGUUCGGCGGUAUUGUUGGACGAAGCGGCCCGGACCGACAUUACGCGUACGCUUACGCGAGACCGGUUCUCCCGACGUGCUUUGCACAUAGGUGGCUAGCGGGUGACAGUUUCUCCAACUUUAGUUGAACCGAGUGUGGCUACGCCCGAUCCUUGCGAAGGUUAAAACAGCACCAACUUGACAAACUAUCAUUGUGGUUUUGAUGCGUAGGUAAGAUUGUUUCUUGCUAAGCCCGUAGCAGCCACGUAAAACUUGCAACAACAAAGUAGAGAACGUCUAACUUGUUUUUGCAGGGCAUGUUGUGAUGUGAUAUGGCAAGACGUGAUGAGAUAUAAGUUGUUGUAUGAGAUGAUCAUGUUUUGUUGAAGUUAUCGGCAACUGGCAAAAUCUUUAUGGUUGUCUCUUUAUUUCAUAAGAUGCAAGUGCCCAAUAAUUGCUUUACUUUAUCGCUAUGCGAUAGCAAUAGUUGCAAGAGCAAUUGUUGGCGAGACGACCACGUGAUGACACAUUGAUAUAGAUCAAGAUGAUGGAGAUCAUGGUGUCAUGCCGGUGACGAUAGAGAUCAUGACAGUACUUUGGAGAUGGAGAUCAAAGGCGCAAGAUGAUGAUGGCCAUAUCAUGUCACAUAUUUUGAUUGCAUAUGAUAUUUAUCUUUUAUACAUCUUAUUUUGCUUAAUUUGACGGUAGCAUUUUAAGAUGAUCUCUCACUAAUUAUCAAGAAGUGUUCUCCCUGAGUAUGCACCGUUGCGAAAGUUCUUCGUGCUGAGACACCACGUGAUGAUCGGGUGUGAUAGGCUCUACGUUCAAAUACAACGGGUGCAAAAUAGUUGCACACGCGGAAUACUCAGGUUAUACUUGACGAGCCAAGCAUAUACAGAUAUGGCCUCGGAACACGGAGACCGAAAGGUCAAGCGUGAAUCAUAUAGUAGAUAUGAUCAACAUAGUGAUGUUCACCAAUGAAACUACUCCAUCUCACGUGAUGAUCGGACAUGGUUUAAUUGAUUUGGAUCACGUGAUCACUUAGAGGAUUAGAGGGAUGUCUAUCUAAGUGGGAGUUCUUUAGUAAUAUGAUUAAUUGAACUUAAAUUUAUCAUGAACUUAGUCCUGGUAGUAUUUUGCAAAUCAUGUUGUAGAUCAAUAGCUCGCGUUGUUACUUCGCUGUGUUUAUUUUGAUAUGUUCCUAGAGAAAAUUGUGUUGAAAGAUGUUAGUUGCAAUGAUGCGGAUUGGAUCCGUGAUCUGAGGUUUAUCCUCAUUGCUGCACAGAAGAAUUAUGUCCUUGAUGCACCGCUAGGUGACAGACCUAUUGCAGGAGCAGAUGCAGACGUUAUGAAUGUUUGGCUAGCUAAAUAUGAUGACUACUUGAUAGUUUAGUGCACCAUGUUUAACGGCUUAGAAUCGGGACUUCAAAGACGUUUUGAACGCCAUGGACCAUAUGAGAUGUUCCAGGAGUUGAAGUUAUUAUUUCAAGCAAAUACCCGAGUUGAGAGAUAUGAAGUCUCCAACAAGUUCUAUAGCUAAAAGAUGGAGGAGAAUCACUCAACUAGUGAGCAUGUGCUCAGAUUGUCUGGGUACUACAAUCGCUUGAAUCAAGUGGGAGUUAAUCUUCCAGAUAAGAUAGUGAUUGACAGAAUUCUCUAGUCACCAUCACCAAGUUAGUAGAACUUCGUGAUGAACUAUAGUAUGCAAGGGAUAACGAAAACAACUCUCGAGCUUUUCAUGAUGAUGAAAUCGAUGAAGGUAGAAAUCAAGAAAGAGCAUCAAGUGUUGAUGGUUGACAAGAUCACUAGUUUCAAGAAAAGGGCAAAGGAAAAAAAGGGGAACUUCAAGAAAAACAGCAAGCAAGUUGCUGCUCAAGUGAAGAAGCUCAAUUCUGGUCCUAAGCCUGAGACUAAGUGCUUCUACUGCAAAGGGACUGGUCACUGUAAGCGGAACUACCCCAAGUGAUUGGCGGAUAAGAAGGAUGGCAAAGUGAACAUAAGUAUAUUUGAUAUACAUGUUAUUGAUGUGUACUUUACUAGUGUUUAUAACAACCCCUCGGUAUUUGAUACUCGUUCAGUUGCUAAGAUUAGUAACUCGAAACGGGAGUUGCAGAAUAAACAGAGACUAGUUAAGGGUGAAGUGACGAUGUGUGUUGGAAGUGGUUCCAAGAUUGAUAUGAUCAUCAUCGCACACUCUCUAUACUUUCGGGAUUAGUGUUGAACCUAAAUAAGUGUUAUUUGGUGUUUGCGUUAAGCAUGAAUAUGAUUUGAUCAUGUUUAUUGUAAUACGGUUAUUCAUUUAAGUAAGAGAAUAAAUUAUUGUUCUGUUUACAUGAAUAAAACCUUAUAUGGUUACACACCCAAUGAAAAUGGUUCAUUGGAUCUCGAUCGUAGUGAUACACAUAUUCAUAAUAUUGAAACCAAAAGAUGCAAAGUUAAUAAUGAUAGUGCAACUUAUUUGUGGCACUGCCGUUUAGGUCAUAUUGGUGUAAAGCGCAUGAAGAAACUCCAUGCUGAUGGGAUUUUGGAAUCAUUUGAUUAUGAAUCACUUGGUGCUUGCGAACCAUGCCUUAUGGGCAAGAUGACUAAAGACUCCGUUCUCCGGAACAAUGGAGCGAGCAACAGAUUUGUUGGAAAUCAUACAUACUGAUGUAUGUGGUCCAAUGAAUAUUAAAGCUCGCGACAAGUAUCAUUAUUUUCUGACCUUCACAGAUAAUUUGAGCAGAUAUGAGUAUAUCUACUUGAUGAAACACAAGUCUGAAACAUUUGAAAAGUUCAAAGAAUUUCAGAGUGAAGUGGAGAAUCAUCGUAACAAAAAUAAAAGUUUCUACGAUAUGAUAGCAGAAGUAAAAUAUUUGAGUUACGAGUUUGACCUUCAGUUAAAAACAAUGUGAAAUAGUUUCACUACUCACGCCACCUGGAACACCACAGUGUAAUGGUGUGUCUGAACGUCAUAACCGUACUUUAUUGGAUAUAGUACAAUCUAUGAUGUUUCUUACCGAUUUAUCAAUAUCGUUUUGGGAUCAUGCAUUAGAGACAGCUGCAUCCGCGUUAAAAAGGGGCACCAUCUAAGUCCAUUGAGACGACACAAUCUGAACUGUGGUUUGGCAAGAAACCAAAGUUGUCGUUUCUUAAAGUUUGGAUUGUGAUGCUUAUAUGAAAAAGUUUCAUCCUGAUAAGCUCAAACCCAAAUCGGAGAAAUAUGUCUUCAUAGGAUACCCAAAGGAGACUGUUGGGUACACCUUCUAUCACAGAUCCGAAGGCAAGACAUUCGUUGCUAAGAAUGGAUCCUUUCUAGAGAAGGAGUUUCUCUUGAAAGAAGUGAGUGGGAGGAAAGUAGAACUUGAUAAGGUAAUUGUACCUUCUCCCUUAUUGGAAAGUAGUUCAUCACAGAAAUCUGUUCCUGUGACUACUACACCAAUUAGUGAGGAAGCUAAUGAUGAUGAUCAUGUAACUUCAGAUCAAGUUACUACCGAAUCUCGUAGGUAAACCAGAGUGAGAUCCGCACCAAAGUGGUACGGUAAUCCUGUUCUGGAAGUCAUGUUACUAGACCAUGACGAACUUGCGAACUAUGAGGAAGCGAUGAUGAGCCCAGAUUCCGCGAAAUGGUUUGAGGCCAUGAAAUCUGAGAUAUGAUCUAUGUAUGAGAACAAAGUAUGGACUUUGAUGGAUUUGCCCGAUGAUCGGCAAGCCAUAGAAAAUAAAUGGAUCUUCAAGAGGAAGACGGACGCUGAUAGUAGUGUUACUAUCUACAAAGCUAGAAUUGUCGCAAAAAGGUUUUCGACAAGUUCAAGAUGUUGACUACGAUGAGAGUUUCUCACUCGUAUCUAUGCUUAAGUCUGUCUGAAUCAUGUUAGCAAUUGCCGCAUUUUAUGAAAUCUGGCAAAUGGAUAAACAAAGCUGAAUUCCUUAAUGGAUUUCUUAAAGAAGAGUUGUAUAUGAUGCAACCAUAAGGUUUUGUCAAUCCUAAAAGUGUUAACAAAAUAUGCAAGCUCCAGCGAUCCAUCUGUGGACUGGUGCAAGCAUCUCGGAGUUGGAAUAUGCGCUUUGAUGAGAUGAUCAAAGUAUAUAGUUUUAUACAGACUUGUGGUGAAGCCUGUAUUUACAAGAAAGUGAGUGGGAGCACUACAGCAUUUCUGACAAGUAUAUGUGAAUGACAUAUUAUUGAUCGGAAAUAAUGUAGAAUUAUUCUGCAAAGCAUAAAGGAGUGUUUGAAAGAAGUUUUUCAAAGAAAGACCUCGGCGAAGCUGCUUACAUAUUAAGCAUCAAGAUCUAUAGAGAUAGAUCAAGACGCUUGAUAAGUUUUUUCAAUGAGUACAUACCUCGACAAGAUUUUGAAGUAGUUCAAAAUAGAACAGUCAAAGAAAGAGUUCUUGCCUGUGUUACAAGGUGUGAAAUUGAGUAAGACUCAAAGCCAGACCAUGGCAGAAAAUAGAAAGAGAAUGAAAGUCAUUCCCUAUGCCUCAGCCAUAGGUUCUAUAAAGUAUGUCAUGCUGUGUACCAGAUCUAUUGUAUACCCUACACUGAUGUUGGCAAGGGAGUACAAUAGUGAUCUAGGAGUAGAUCACUGGACAGUGGUCAAAAUUAUCCUUACUGGAAUAAGGAUAUGUUUCUCGAUUAUGGAGGUGACAAAAGGUUCGUCGUAAAGGGUUACGUCGAUACAAACUUUGACACUAAUCCAGAUGAUUCUAAGUCUCAAUCUGGAUGCAUAUUGAAAGUGGGAGCAAUUAGCUAGAGUAGCUCCGUGCAGAGCAUUGUUGACAUAGAAAUUUGCAAAAUACAUACGGAUCUGAAUAUGGUAGACCCGUUGACUAAACUUCUCUCACAGGCAAAACAUGAUCACACCUUAGUACUCUUUGGGUGUUAAUCACAUAGCAAUGUGAACUAGAUUAUUGACUCUAGUAAACCCUUUGGGUGUUGGUCACAUGACGAUGUGAACUAUGGGUGUUAAUCACAUGGUGAUGUGAAUUAUUGAUGUUAAAUCACAUGUCGAUGUGAACUAGAUUAUUGACUCUAGUGCAAGUGGGAGACUGAAGGAAAUAUGCCCUAGAGGCAAUAAUAAAGUUAUUAUUUAUUUCCUUAUUUCAUGAUAAAUGUUUAUUAUUCAUGCUAAAAUUGUAUUAACCGGAAACAUAAUACAUGUGUGAAUACAUAGACAAACAAAGUGUCACUAGUAUGCCUCUACUUGACUAGCUCGUUAAUCAAAGAUGGUUAUGUUUUCUAACCAUAGACAUGUGUUGUCAUUUGAUUAACGGGAUCACAUCAUUAGGAGAAUGAUGUGAUUGACAUGACCCAUUCCAUUAGCUUAGCACCCGAUCGUUUAGUAUGUUGCUAUUGCUUUCUUCAUGACUUAUACAUGUUCCUAUGACUAUGAGAUUAUGCAACUCCUGUUUGCCGGAGGAACACUUUGUGUGCUACCAAACGUCACAACGUAACUGGGUGACUAUAAAGGAGCUCUACAGAUGUCUCCAAAGGUAAAUGUUGGGUUGGCGUAUUUCGAGAUUAGGAUUUGUCACUCCGAUUGUCGGAGAGGUAUCUCUGGGCCCUCUCGGUAAUGCACAUCACAUAAGCCUUGCAAGCAUUGCAGCUAAUGAGUUAGUUGCGAGAUGAUGUAUUACGGAACGAGUAAAGAGACUUGCCGGUAACGAGAUUGAACUAGGUAUUGAGAUACCGACGAUCGAAUCUCGGGCAAGUAACAUACCGAUGACAAAGGGAACAAUGUAUGUUGUUAUGCGGUCUGACCGAUAAAGAUCUUCGUAGAAUAUGUAGGAACCAAUAUGAGCAUCCAGGUUCCGCUAUUGGUUAUUGACCGGAGACGUGUCUCGGUCAUGUCUACAUUGUUCUCGAACCCGUAGGGUCCGCACGCUUAAGGUUUCGAUGAUAGUUAUAUUAUGAGUUUAUGAGUUUUGAUGCACCAAAGUUAGUUCGGAGUCCCGGAUGUGAUCACGGAUAUGACGAGGAGUCUCGAAAUGGUCGAGACAUAAAGAUUGAUAUAUUGGACGGCUAUAUUCGGACACCGAAAGUGUUCCGGGUGAUUUCGGAGAAAACCAGAGAGCCGGAGGGUUACCGGAACCCCCCCGGGAGAAGUAAUGGGCCAUAUGGGCCUUAGUGGAGAGAGAGAGGGGCAGCCAAAGGUGGGCCGCGCGCCUCCUCCCCCUGGUCCGAAUUGGACUAGGAGAGGGGGGGCGGCGUCCCCCUUUCCUUCUCCCUCCCCACUUCUUUCCCCCUCCUAGUAGGAGUCCUAUUCCUACUAGGAGGACUCCUCCUUGGCGCGCCAUAGGGGCCGGCCGGCCUCCUCCCCUUGAUCCUUUAUAUACGGGGGCAGGGAGCACCCCUAGACACACAAGUUGAUCCAUGUGAUCAUAUUCUUAGCCGUGUGCGGUGCCCCCUUCCACCAUAAUCCUCGAUAAUAUUGUAGCGGUGUUUAGGCGAAGCCCUGCGAUGGUAGUACAUCAAGAUCGUCACCAUGCCGUCGUGCUGAGGGAACUCUUCCCCGACACUUUGCUGGAUCGGAGUCCGGGGAUCGUCAUCGAGCUGAACGUGUGCUAAAACUCGGAGGUGUCGUAGUUUCGGUGCUUGAUCGGUCAGGCCGUGAAGACGUACGACUACAUCAACCGCGUUGUGAUAACGCUUCCGCUGUCGGUCUACAAGGGUACGUAGAUCACACUCUCCCCUCUCGUUGCUAUGCAUCACCAUGAUCUUGCGUGUGCGUGAGAAUUUUUUUGAAAUUACUACGUUCCCCAACAAUAAGUAUGUAUCCCCAACCCCUCAGGUUGGCAUGGCAUUGUGUGAGAAAUAAACCAACGAAAAUUGUCCCUACUCUCCUAGUGUCAUCCACAACUAUCAGUGCUCAGUUUCAAAGGUCUAACAUUGAGAAGGCAUUACCGAAGGUUAACUUGAGAUUAUGGAAUCGCAGAGGACUGGUUGUGCCUG
rnacentral:lncRNA from 1 species